CCUACGGGUCGCAGCAGUGGGGAAUAUUGCACAAUGGGCGCAAGCCUGAUGCAGCCAUGCCGCGUGUGUGAAGAAGGCCUUCGGGUUGUAAAGCACUUUCAGCGGGGAGGAAGGCGAUAAGGUUAAUAACCUUGUCGAUUGACGGUACCCGCAGAAGAAGCACCGGCUAACUCCGUGCCAGCAGCCGCGGUAAUACGGAGGGUGCAAGCGUUAAUCGGAAUUACUGGGCGUAAAGCGCACGCAGGCGGUCUGUCAAGUCGGAUGUGAAAUCCCCGGGCUCAACCUGGGAACUGCAUUCGAAACUGGCAGGCUGGAGUCUUGUAGAGGGGGGUAGAAUUCCAGGUGUAGCGGUGAAAUGCGUAGAGAUCUGGAGGAAUACCGGUGGCGAAGGCGGCCCCCUGGACAAAGACUGACGCUCAGGUGCGAAAGCGUGGGGAGCAAACAGGAUUAGAUACCCCGGGUAGUC
rnacentral:rRNA from 1 species